UAAAAACAUUUUGCAAAGUUAUGCUGAGUUUUUAAAUGUUGCAAUAUUGUUUUGAAAAUAAUGUUUUUUGCAGCACAUUCUUAUUUUUGCAGAGGGUAUCCAGGGGAAACCACCUAAUGAUAUUGUGAUUAUGAUAUUUUAAAUUUAAUACUAUUUAAUAAAUAAAUAAUUUUUAACUUAAAAUAUAUAAGUAAUAUAUAGCUUUCAGUAUAUCUGUUUUAUUGCAGUUUUUUACCCAAUGCUUCACAAGCGUUAUGUAAUAUGUAUAAAUCUGGUGAAAAGUUUGGAUUCUCAAAAUCUAACAUUUACAGAGCAAUAGUUGAUGUUGUUCUUUUCAAGAACAAAGAGGCUACUACAUCUGAAAUAUGCCAAAUAAUCAUGCUUCAACUAAAACAUGCGCCUCGGCGAUCCAAUGGUGGAGAAUCGAUUAUUCGCAAGUUUCCUAAUGAAGAAUAAUCGUUGUCAGAGAUGCUUUUUUAUGCUGAUUUUUAUGUAUAGCUUUGCUGCUAAAAGUAAUUUAAAAAGAAAGAAUGUUAACGAA